rnacentral:rRNA from 1 species
AUGAAGAGUAGCACGCUCGUGGCGAUCCUGAUUCUCCAGGCCGUCCUGGUCAUGGGAAUCCUCUCACAGGCGAACGCCGAGUUCCCAAAAUGCUGCGACAACUGCAGGUUCUUCUCGGGGGCCGUGGUCUGCGACGACGCCGGCCCCAAGUGCCGCGACGGCUGCGUGAACUGCCGCGUCGUGGAGACGAGCCCCAAGAUGACGUUCCGGUGCGCCGAUGCGCGCGGCGACGACGGCACGCCCUGCCCGCCCUGCAAGAAGUACUGA